GUAGGCCAUUACAGGAACCAUCCUAGAAAACAAAUAAGCAGAAAAAGUAUCUCAGUAUCAGUUCUGAAAAGAUAUUACAAUAUCAGUACCAGGACAGACCAAAUAAAUGUGGUCUAAGGACAAGCAGGACCAUGAGAAGAAAAAAGAAAAAGAAUGAAUAGGGAAAGAGCAAGUAAUGCAACAUGAGUGCUUUUGUUGACCACCCCAAAAAUGUGUAACAUGGAAAUCACAGUGCAUGGGACUAAAGAUAAAUAAAAAUCCCAACAUCCACUAGACCAAAUAAAACCCAGUUCAAAGAAUAUUUGGUAUUGUGGUCAUUAUUUU
rnacentral:misc_RNA from 1 species